rnacentral:tRNA from 3 species
GUAGGUAUAGCUCAGUUGGUUAGAGCAUCGGGUUGUGGUUCCGAGGGCCGUGGGUUCAAGUCCCAUUAUCUACCCCA